rnacentral:misc_RNA from 1 species
AAAGUCGUAACAAGGUCUCCGUUGGUGAACCAGCGGAGGGAUCAUUACAGAGUUAUCUAACUCCCAAACCCAUGUGAACUUACCAUUGUUGCCUCGGCAGAACCUACCCGGUACCUACCCUGUAACGACCUACCCUGUAGCGAGUUACCCGGGAAGACCUACCCUGUAGUGUGCUGCCGGUGGACUUCUUAACUCUUGUUAUUUUAUAGUAAUCUGAGCGUCUUAUUUUAAUAAGUCAAAACUUUCAACAACGGAUCUCUUGGUUCUG